rnacentral:lncRNA from 1 species
AGAUUCUUCAACAUCUGCUAAUGUACAGAGCUUUAUUGUAAUGUAAGAUUUUUUUUAUUGACUAUGUGCAAAGAACUUUAAGACAAUAAGGCAAUUUUUGUGUUUCAUUGUGUUUUCUAUAAUAGAGUUUUGUUCUAAAUGUGUAUCCCAUUAAGGUUGGGACUUAGAGCUAGAGUUGUUAUACAAGUUUGUGAACCUUAGUUGGCCAUGUCUAGACAUGAGGGUGCUCUUUCUU